rnacentral:rRNA from 1 species
CGGGCUAAACCCGCGUACAUGCCACCGGGGCAUCCCGGAGGCAGGAAAGGCUUCGGCCGGACAGGGAUGGGCAUGCGGCGCAUUAGGCAGUAGGCGGGGUAACGGCCCACCUAACCGACGAUGCGUAGGGGUUCUGAGAGGAAGGUCCCCCACACUGGUACUGAGACACGGACCAGACUCCUACGGGAGGCAGCAGUGAGGAAUAUUGGUCAAUGGUCGGGAGACUGAACCAGCCAAGCCGCGUGAGGGAUGAAGGUACAGAGUAUCGUAAACCUCUUUUGUCAGGGAACAAAGGCGGGGACGUGUCCCCGGAUGAGUGUACCUGAAGAAAAAGCAUCGGCUAACUCCGUGCCAGCAGCCGCGGUAAUACGGAGGAUGCGAGCGUUAUCCGGAUUUAUUGGGUUUAAAGGGUGCGCAGGCGGUCUGUUAAGUCAGCGGUCAAAGCCCGGGGCUCAACCCCGGCCCGCCGUUGAAACUGGCAGUCUCGAGUUGGAGAGAAGUAUGCGGAAUGCGCGGUGUAGCGGUGAAAUGCAUAGAUAUCGCGCAGAACUCCGAUUGCGAAGGCAGCAUGCCGGCUCCACACUGACGCUGAGGCACGAAGGCGUGGGUAUCGAACAGGAUUAGAUACCCUGGUAGUCCACGCAGUAAACGA